rnacentral:misc_RNA from 1 species
UUUCCGUAGGUGAACCUGCGGAAGGAUCAUUACCGAGUGAGGGACUCUCAGGCCCGACCUCCCCCUCUGUGUAUUUUUGACCUUGCUGCUUUGGCGCGGUCGCCUCGAUGAGAGGCCGCCGGCAGCCCACCGCUUUGGGCCCGUGCCUCCCAGAAGCUCCUUUAAACUCUUAAUAAACCUGUCGUCUGAGUCAAGAUAUAAUAAAAAAAACUUCCAACUACGGACCUCUUGGUUGUGGCAUCGAGGAAGAAAGCAGCAGAUCGGAAGAUCAAACG